GACGAACGCUGGCGGCGUGCUUAACACAUGCAAGUCGAACGGAAAGGCCCUGCUUUUGUGGGGUGCUCGAGUGGCGAACGGGUGAGUAACACUUGAGUAACCUGCCCUUUACUUUGGGAUAACUUCAGGAAACUGGGGCUAAUACCUGAUAGGAGCUCCUGCUGCAUGGUGGGGGUUGGAAAGUUUCGGCGGUUGGGGAUGGACUCGCGUCUUAUCAGCUGGUUGGUGGGGUAGUGGCUUACCAAGGCUUUGACGGGUAGCCGGCCUGAGAGGGUGACCGGCCACAUUGGGACUGAGAUACGGCCCAGACUCCUACGGGAGGCAGCAGUGGGGUAUAUUGCACAAUGGGCGGAAGCCUGAUGCAGCAACGCCGCGUGCGGGAUGACGGCCUUCGGGUUGUAAACCGCUUUCGCCUGUGACGAAGCGUGAGUGACGGUAAUGGGUAAAGAAGCACCGGCUAACUACGUG
rnacentral:rRNA from 1 species